UGAAGGUGCUAACAGUUAGUUCUUGAUAAGGGUAUGUUCAGUUAUAGGCUUACAGAGAGAUUGUACAUGAAGGUGCUAACAGUUAGUUCUUGAUAAGGGUAUGUUCAGUUAUAGGCUUACAGAGAGAUUGUACAUGAAGGUGCUAACAGUUAGUUCUUGAUAAGGGUAUGUUCAGUUAUAGGCUUACAGAGAGAUUGUACAUGAAGGUGCUAACAGUUAGUUCUUGAUAAGGGUAUGUUCAGUUAUAGGCUUACAGAGAGAUUGUACAUGAAGGUGCUAACAGUUAGUUCUUGAUAAGGGUAUGUUCAGUUAUAGGCUUACAGAGAGAUUGUACAUGAAGGUGCUAACAGUUAGUUCUUGAUAAGGGUAUGUUCAGUUAUAGGCUUACAGAGAGAUUGUACAUGAAGGUGCUAACAGUUAGUUCUUGAUAAGGGUAUGUUCAGUUAUAGGCUUACAGAGAGAUUGUACAUGA